rnacentral:miRNA from 1 species
UAUUGCACUUGUCCCGACGCGGC